GCGAUCAUACCAGCACUAAUGCACCGGAUUCCAUCAGAACUGCGAAGUUAAGUGUGCUUGGGUGAGAGUAGAACUAGGAUGGGUGACCCCCUGGGAAGUCCACGUGUUGCACCCC
rnacentral:rRNA from 1 species